rnacentral:tRNA from 1 species
GCUUGGUUAGCUCAGUCGGUAGAGCGUGGGACUCUUACACACGUAGGCAUCUCAAGGUCAAGGGUUCGAGCCCCUUAUCGAGCU